rnacentral:rRNA from 1 species
UACGUAGGGUGCAAGCGUUGUCCGGAAUUAUUGGGCGUAAAGAGCUCGUAGGCGGUUUGUCGCGUCUGCUGUGAAAUCCCGAGGCUCAACCUCGGGUCUGCAGUGGGUACGGGCAGACUAGAGUGCGGUAGGGGAGAUUGGAACUCCUGGUGUAGCGGUGGAAUGCGCAGAUAUCAGGAAGAACACCGAUGGCGAAGGCAGAUCUCUGGGCCGUAACUGACGCUGAGGAGCGAAAGCCAUGGGGGAGCGAACAGG